rnacentral:rRNA from 1 species
AUUGAACGCUGGCGGCAGGCCUAACACAUGCAAGUCGAGCGGAGCGGCGGACGGGUGAGUAAUGCCUAGGACUCUGCCAGGUAGUGGGGGAUAACUUCCGGAAACGGGCGCUUAUACCGCAUACUAUCACAUGAGCCUAGGUCGGAUUAGCUAGGUGGUGUGGUAAAGGCCUACCCAGGCAACGACCCGUACAUGGUCUGAGAGGAUGAUCAGUCACACUGGAACUGAGACACGGUCCAGACUCUGACGGGAGGCAGCAGUGGGGAAUAUUGGACAAUGGGCGAAAGCCUGAUCCAGCCAUGCCGCGUGUGUGAAGAAGGUCUUCGGAUUGUAAAGCACUUUAAGUUGGGAGGCGUUACCAACAGAAUAAGCACCGGCUAACUUCGUGCCAGCCGCCGCGGUAAUUC